rnacentral:rRNA from 1 species
CCUACGGGAGGCAGCAGUGAGGGAUAUUGCGCAAUGGGGGAAACCCUGACGCAGCGACGCCGCGUGGGUGAUGAAGGCCUUCGGGUCGUAAAACCCUUUUGCCACUGACGAGACAAGGACGGUAGGUGGCGAAUAAGCCUCGGCUAACUACGUGCCAGCAGCCGCGGUAAU